AUGAGAUUUUCAGUCUCCUUGCACUAUCAGCUCGUGCAAGUGCUGAUUCUUUUCGAUCUUCAAUUUCAAAUGAACUUAUGAUGAUAGUAAGGAAGCAGGUUAGUCAUCCAGACCUCAAGUACAAAAAGAUGGGCUUAGUUGGAACUCUUAGGAUUGUGUCGUCACUUGGGGAUGCAAAGAGUGUUCCUGACCUUCCAUCAUCACAGGUUUCAGAUUGUGGGGAGAUUUUGGAGCUCUU